rnacentral:pre_miRNA from 1 species
CGACAACCCUCUUCCAAAUCACGCUGCUGUGAACAUGAUUGAGGUAUAUGAGGAAGCUCCCGGACUUGACGUCCGUAAUGUUACAACUCCUCUGGUGCCACUACACAUCAAGUUAUGCCAAGCCUCUCUGUUUGACCAUGAUCAUGCCAAUUGCCAAGAAUGAUUCUGUAAUCCUUUGGGUUGCUGCGUUGUUUAAAAUGACAUCCAGAGCUUGAUGAACAACAAUUAUUUGACUGUCAGCGACGUCUGUGUGAUUGUGCCAGUCU